GUUUUUGUAGUUGAUAAACAACAGUGGUUUUUCAGGCCUCAGGACUCUAAGGAGCAAAAAUA
rnacentral:tRNA from 1 species